rnacentral:rRNA from 1 species
AUGUAUUGUAAAUUUGAAAUUUGUAUUUUUGAAAUCACUCAAUUAUUUGGAAUGGUAGAGAGGUUGAGACGGGGGCGAUGUGGCAGGUCCUUGUCGGAGAUGGGGAUGAUGACGCGGCUAUCGCAUGCGAGGACCAUGGUUCACAAGUUCGUGAGGAUUUUUUUUAGGCUGAUCGUAAUGUUGGCAUGCAUGAUACUACCUAUGAUACUCCCAUUACGAUCAACCUUAUCGCCCGAGCAUGGGACGAUGUAUCGGAGCUUAAGGAGAGGAAAAAGGUUGUCGGUUCAGGCCAGGGGAGCUUAUUGGUUAAUAUUUAUGGCUACAUGA